rnacentral:lncRNA from 1 species
AGCUGCUUGAAAUCCUGACCCUCAGGUCUGCACUGAUCAUUUGUUUGAUCCCAGAAAUCUCUGGUCACUGAAAGAUUUUCUGUACGCACAGAUGUUCACGUGAGGAUGGACAGAGUCUUUUUCUUACCUGCUCAGACAGGAGAUUGAAGGUUCUUCAUGAUGGGCUUUGCUUUGCAUUUCAGUCCAAAAGUCUUUAAAAGUGCACAAACUUUACCACGGAUUUCUAUAAGGAUGCAGUGGAUGUCUUUUUCAAGAACUGAUCUGAACAGCAUUUCAAUCCGAAUGACUCUCAAGUUGUACACAAUUCUUUUCAUGGAUCACUACAAGAGUGCAUCUCAGUGUGACCAUAUGGGCUGGAGUGCAUUACCCUGCAGUGGAGCAGAGGGAAAAGCCCUUUUCAGCCUUAUUCAGAGUCAGUGCCAGAGCCAAAGUUGUACAUAGCUAGAAUCAGAGUUUUGGCCCACUUGAAUUUCUUAAAGAUUUAAAGCCUAGUUGUUGUUUGAAAGUUGGUGCCAUACAGAUUUAAAAAGAAAAAUCAAAUGUCAUUCCAGAAGGUAUCUUGUCUUCUGUUCUGAAAGGGAGAGCAAAUGAAAGUAAAAAAAUUUGCUGCUUAUCAGAGAUGACUGAGCAUGAGAAUCAGUCUCUUAUCAGCCUCCUGACUCACAGGCUGCAGAGCCCCUGUGCAUCCCCUGGGCCAUUGCUCACAGCAGUAUUGAAUGAGAGAGUAACAGGACAGAUAUUUGUGUGGACAUCUAUAUGAUCAAAAAUACAUGCUUCUUAGUGAGCGUGUAACAGUUUGGCGUUAUCUGUAUGACGUAUUAUCCUUUUCUUUCCCACUACCGUAUCGUGUAACAGAUGGCAUAGAACAGAGCAGCUCAGGUUUGUUUUUUUUUUUUUUAAAUGAAUCCAGUUAUGAACAUCUGGGAACACGGAAUGCUGGAAAACAGGCUGUGUUUCAAAAAAUAUUGAGAAGGUGGGGGGGGGGGAGAAAACUCUUCUAAUUCUGCUUCAUUUGAUUGCAACUGUGCCACGUUAUUGGGAAACUUUUUUACUCAGGCAAAAUUUCAACAGCCAUCAAAGUGAGCUUUUCUGACUAAUCUGAAUUAUUCUAUCUCUAAAGGCACUCUACUGAUUUCAAGGGAACAGGAGCUUCUUAUGCUUUGGUUCAGAAACCCAUCUCCCAAGUUAUAUAUGAGGGAACUUUAAUCUAUGCUAGUGGAAAUGGAGAUUCUUUGUAAGUGGAGAUUUUUAUGCUGUUUUUCCCAAGUGCUGAACUGAAUGACUAUGCCAAAUAUUGACCAAAUCCCUUUGGAUAAAUC